rnacentral:lncRNA from 1 species
CUCGGCCACAGCAACUGGCUCCAAGUUCCCUCCCUCGUUCUCCGGCGAAGCCUGCCUGAGCCCUCCCACUCGGUGCAGACCGAACCAUCGCGGCCGCCGCCAGCCGGGCCCUCCGCGGCCGCGCGUCCUGGGCCCGUUCCGCCAGCCCCGUCUGCUCUCUACCAGCGGCCCCGCGACGGUGACCGUGAGGACUCGGCAGCCCCUACAGCCCGCUCUCGGCCCUCCGUCCCUCGCGGGCCCAGACUCUCCCUCCUCGCAGUCUCCGGGAGCCUGGCGCCCGGCUCGGGCCGCACCGCCAGGGACUGGGGUGCGCGGCCCAGAAAUCUCCAAAUUAGACAUCCAGAGCAGCAUUCUUGUUCUUUCUACGUCUUGAAUUAGAAACUACCAAGGCUCUUCAAGUCCUGAAAAGGAAAUAAAAGCUCUGCCUGCAGUUGAACACAAAGACCUGGAGGAGACUCCCACCUCUUCAGGGAGAAGAAAGGAGGCAGCGAAGCAGAUUAAAGGAACUUGUGGCUUGUGGCCUUUUUGUGCAAGGGCUGCCUGAAAGGGGAGAAAAGUGUAUGAAAGCCACCGUGGCGGUUAAUGAGCUGUGAGAUGAGGCGCUGCUGCGGCCGCUGCUGCUGACACUCGCUCCCAGGCUGCACCCGCUGCCCUUGGCGCUUCAUGUACAUGUGUCUAUUCAGGCCGUGCGGAGGCGUCCAGAAGAGCAUCCAACACGGCUG